AGAAAAUAGAUACCCUGGUAGUCCACGCCCUAAACGAUGCAUAUUUGGUGUGGGCAGUUCAUUCUGUCCGUGCCGGAGCUAACGCGUUAAAUAUGCCGCCUGGGGAGUACAGUCGCAAGGCUGAAACUCAAAGGAAUUGACGGGGGCCCGCACAAGCGGUGGAGCAUGUGGUUCAAUUCGACGCAACGCGAAGAACCUUACCUGGGCUCGAACGGCUGAUCAACGGCGGUGGAAACAUCGCUACCCCGCAGGGGGGUUCAGUCGAGGUGCUGCAUGGCUGUCGUCAGCUCGUGUCGUGAGAUGUUGGGUUAAGUCCCGCAACGAGCGCAACCCUUGUCCUGUGUUGCCAUGUCGAAAGACGGAACUCGCAGGAGACCGCCAGGGAUAACCUGGAGGAAGGUGGGGAUGACGUCAAGUCCUCAUGGCCUUUAUGUCCAGGGCUACACACGUGCUACAAUGGACGGUACAAAGCGCAGCGAACUCGCGAGAGGGAGCCAAUCGCAAAAAACCCGGUUCUCAGUUCGGAUUGCA
rnacentral:rRNA from 1 species